GACGAACGCUGGCGGCGCGCUUAACACAUGCAAGUCGAACGGAAAGGCCUGCUUUCCCUUGUGGAUUGCGGGUACUCGAGUGGCGAACGGGUGAGUAACACGUGAGUGAUCUGCCCCCAACUUGGGUAUAAGCCUGGGAAACUGGGUCUAAUUCCCGAUAGGACUGCAGGGUGGUGCCUGUGGUGGAAAACGAUUUUCUAGUGGUUGGGGAUGAGCUCGCGGCCUAUCAGCUUGUUGGUGGGGUAAUGGCCUACCAAGGCGGCGACGGGUAGCCGGCCUGGGAGGGUGGACGGCCACAUUGGGACUGAGAUACGGCCCAGACUCCUACGGGAGGCAGCAGUGGGGAAUAUUGCACAAUGGGCGGAAGCCUGAUGCAGCGACGCCGCGUGGGGGAUGACGGCCUUCGGGUUGUAAACUCCUUUCGACCGCGAGGAAGCCACCUGGUUGGAAGGGUGGUGACGGUAGUGGUAGAAGAAGCACUGGCUAACUACGUG
rnacentral:rRNA from 1 species